rnacentral:rRNA from 1 species
UGGCGAACGGGUGAGUAACACGUGAGCAAUCUGCCCUUGACUCUGGGAUAAGCGUUGGAAACGACGUCUAAUACCGGAUACGACCUUGGAAGGCAUCUUCUGGGGUGGAAAGAAUUUUGGUCAAGGAUGAGCUCGCGGCCUAUCAGCUAGUUGGUGAGGUAAUGGCUCACCAAGGCGACGACGGGUAGCCGGCCUGAGAGGGUGACCGGCCACACUGGGACUGAGACACGGCCCAGACUCCUACGGGAGGCAGCAGUGGGGAAUAUUGCACAAUGGGCGAAAGCCUGAUGCAGCAACGCCGCGUGAGGGACGACGGCCUUCGGGUUGUAAACCUCUUUUAGUAGGGAAGAAGCGUUAAAGUGACGGUACCUGCAGAAAAAGCACCGGCUAACUACGUGCCAGCAGCCGCGGUAAUACGUAGGGUGCAAGCGUUGUCCGGAAUUAUUGGGCGUAAAGAGCUCGUAGGCGGUUUGUCGCGUCUGCUGUGAAAACCCGAGGCUCAACCUCGGGCCUGCAGUGGGUAC